UGAUCCCAGAGCUCACACUGUAUUGUACAUGCAUCCACAGUCCAGUAACAAGCUCCAACGCAGAAGCAGCUAGACUUCAUUGAACACCUUGGCAACCACCCAAGAGCGCCAAAGAAGGACCUUCAAAAACAUCUUUCAUUAAUGAACAUGUGCAGGUCCUACCUGAACAGAAGGUCAGUGGCUGAUGUUCCAGCUGUGAUCCAUCAGGAAUGAGAUUAUUUUGUCAUUCUUAUGUACAGUAUUUACUGAGUAGCUAAAAUAUCAAACAGAUCUUCCAAUUUCAUCCCUCUUUAACUGACUCCUUCAAGAUGGACCACCAUGGAAGGAAAUAGAACAGCUGGGAAUAUCUUAAAUAUCUGAACAAUGUUUGAGAGAAGAACUUGCCAUCUGAAGUACUUCAUAAUGCUGUUGACACUGCCUUCAUAACACAGCACCGGGAAGAGAUUUGCUUACCCCAGUCCAACUGGUGCUGACUAGCUUUCAUCCUUGUACAACUUGACCUAACUUCUACUGGGAUUCCAUGUGGUGUCUCUGUGGUCACAAGACAUGAUUAUUACUUUUUGUGGCUUUUCAGUUUAGAAGGACCAAAAUGAUAGGAUGUUUUAUGAUAGGUAAAAAUCUUAUGUGUACGCUAGCACAUGGAAGUGUUUGAGACAUGGUACAGAGCUGGAAGACUGCACCAGGUAGAAGCGGCCAAUUCCAGCAUGGUAUGCAUUCACAUCGCUGAACUGGAAACUUCAGGCAAACUAUGCUGCAGACAGGUUUGCUAGAGAGGGAUCUAGUUCAUUUGCUUCAAAGAGACCAAGGGAGUGAACCAGUAUAAAUGCAGUGUGAACAAGCAGGGAGCAAGACCUGAGAGCAAGGCCUGGAGGGAGCCAUGCGGAGGCAUCACAGGAUCAGAACGUAGCCUCCAUGCAUUUUCCACUGCAGAGACCCAUCUUCUGUGUCAGGCUUUCAGUUUGUAAACAGAAAACUCUCCAAACCCUGUGCACGCAACCUUCCCACUCAAACCCUGUGCUAUACUUAUUUCAUAACAGAAAUUGUUUGGUGUCAUUGAUUUUAUUAGCAUCAUAAAGAAAUUUUGCAGCAGGUAGUCUUUAGGUCUGUUGGGUGUCACUCACAAACCAAAAUCAGGACCCAGACAUGCUCCCCACCUGCAACCCAUAUCUCAUUCAUCCUACCUCUUCCAACUUCUGCAACAAGUACAGUGUGAGUGUUAGAUAAAACA